rnacentral:rRNA from 1 species
AGAUUGAACGCUGGCGGAAUGCUUUACACAUGCAAGUCGAGCGGCAGCGCGGGGCAACCUGGCGGCGAGCGGCGAACGGGUGAGUAAUGCAUCGGAACAUGUCCAUGUCGUGGGGGAUAGCCCGGCGAAAGCCGGAUUAAUACCGCAUACGCCCGAGAGGGGAAAGUGGGGGACCGCAAGGCCUCACGCGAUUGGGUUGGCCGAUGUCCGAUUAGCUAGUUGGCGGGGUAAGAGCCCACCAAGGCGAUGAUCGGUAGCUGGUCUGAGAGGAUGAUCAGCCACACUGGGACUGAGACACGGCCCAGACUCCUACGGGAGGCAGCAGUGGGGAAUUUUGGACAAUGGGGGCAACCCUGAUCCAGCCAUUCCGCGUGAGUGAAGAAGGCCUUGGUGUAAGCUCUUUGUCCGGAACGAAACGGUUACGUGUAAUAUCGUGACCUGCUGACGGUACGGAAGAAUAAGCACCGGCUAACUACGUGCCAGCAGCCG